rnacentral:rRNA from 1 species
UACGGGGGGGGCAAGCGUUGUUCGGAAUUAUUGGGCGUAAAGAGCGUGUAGGCGGCCAGGUAGGUCUGCUGUGAAAACUCGAGGCUCAACCUCGAGACGUCGGCGGAAACCAUCUGGCUAGAGUCCGGAAGAGGAGAGUGGAAUUCCUGGUGUAGCGGUGAAAUGCGCAGAUAUCAGGAGGAACACCAAUUGCGAAGGCAGCUCGCUGGGACGUUACUGACGCUGAGACGCGAAAGCGUGGGGAGCAAACAGG